UACAGAGGUCCCAAGCGUUGUUCGGAUUCACUGGGCGUAAAGGGUGCGUAGGUGGUCGGGUAAGUCUGAUGUGAAAUCUCUGAGCUCAACUCAGAAAUGGCAUUGGAUACUAUUCGGCUAGAGAGUCGGAGGGGGGACUGGAAUACUUGGUGUAGCAGUGAAAUGCGUAGAUAUCAAGUGGAACACCAGUGGCGAAGGCGGCCAGCUGGGCCGACCCUGACGCUGAGGCGCGAAGGCGUGGGGAGCGAACGGG
rnacentral:rRNA from 1 species